rnacentral:ncRNA from 1 species
AGAGUAGAUCCAUACGCGUUAAGUACCGGACAGACGGGGAGUUGCUGCCGGGCGAAAAGUUUUCUUGCGGUGUGUGGAUCGCAUCCCGCUGC